AAAAUAGAUAGACGGAGGGAGGGGGGAUAGACGAGAAACAGAGAGAGAACGAGAGAAAAAGAAUAAGGGACUGGGCAUCUCCUUCCUCACAAAAAAUCAGUUCCAAUUUCCUCUCUUAGACCAUGUAAAUUACCACCAAAAGUCAUCUCUUUUCUCUUCCUAAGAUCUAGAUCCAAGAGAUAAAAGCAAAGUUGCUUACCUUCUUCUCCUUCCUAAAAAAUACCAUGGCUGAAACUUACCUUCCUCCUUCAAAAUUCAGCAGUUAAAACCACCUGAAAUACCUCAAAAACCAGCUGAAAAAUAGUUCCAAAACAGCUACGAAUCUACAAAAAAGCAGCUCGAAAAAGUCCCUAAACUCACCCAACAACGUCACUCAAAACCAGCUCCCAAAAGCCAUAAAAAUCAGCCUCAAAUCCCACCCAAUAUAGUCCCACAAAGCCUUUAUUAAAGCAUCUCUAGAAUAGCUGUAAAACCAGUUGUUUUCCUCCAUGAAAUCUAGCUGAAAAUUCACAAAAUCAUGCUUAAAUCAGUAGUAAAUCACCUGUUUCAGCCAUGAAAAACUAGUAACAUUAGCUCCAAAAAUAUCAUCCCCAAAGCUACCACUAAAACGAACAGCUCAGUACUUCCUCAAUCAAAGUCUAGCCGAAUUUCGAGGUCUAAGAGCUCGUUCGCGUCGAGUUAGCGAGGUUGCAUGCUCCAAGUUCUGUCCGCGGUCUUUCCCGAGCAUUAGGAGUUUGUUCUCGUUUAACUAAGGUACAUGCCUUGAGAAUUGUCUGAUGUAACUUCUCAAGUUGAAAGUGAAAUGAAAUUAGUGCCUGAUUUCUGUUGUAGAUUUUGCUGUUUCAACAUCCUAUUAUACUUUGAGUAGUUCCAUGAUUUAGUUGAUAUAUUCAUUGUAAUAGAACCUGGACUGUAUUGGACUGUGGUAAUUAAACUGCCUAGAUUGCUUUUUGUUUUAGUUUGUAUUACUGAAACCGUUUAAGACAGUUGUUUAGUAUAGUUCAGUAUAAAUUCAAUUUCA